rnacentral:lncRNA from 1 species
UCAUUUUUUUAUUUUUUUUCUCAUCUUUAAAAAAUCAUAUUAAAUUGAAAAUUAAUCCAAAUUCAUCCCAAUUUUUCCCUACUUGCUCCUUGCUCUGUCUAUUCUUUUUUUGAUCAUUUUUUCCAAAAUUGUGCUUGGCUGGAUUUCAUUUUGUGCUAGGGUAUGUGAGCAUGUGUCCAUUUUGUACCUUACCUUGCUUAUUCAUUUGUGAAAU